GAUGAACGCUGGCGGCGUGCCUAAUACAUGCAAGUCGAGCGAACGGACGAGAAGCUUGCUUCUCUGAUGUUAGCGGCGGACGGGUGAGUAACACGUGGAUAACCUACCUAUAAGACUGGGAUAACUUCGGGAAACCGGAACUAAUACCGGAUAAUAUUUUGAACCGCAUGGUUCAAAAGUGAAAGACGGUCUUGCUGUCACUUAUAGAUGGUUCCGCGCUGCAUUAGCUAGUUGGUAAGGUAACGGCUUACCAAGGCAACGAUGCAUAGCCGACCUGAGAGGGUGAUCGGCCACACUGGAACUGAGACACGGUCCAGACUCCUACGGGAGGCAGCAGUAGGGAAUCUUCCGCAAUGGGCGAAAGCCUGACGCAGCAACGCCGCGUGAGUGAUGAAGGUCUUCGGAUCGUAAAACUCUGUUAUUAGGGAAGAACAUAUGUGUAAGUAACUGUGCACAUCUUGACGGUACCUAAUCAGAAAGCCACGGCUAACUACGUG
rnacentral:rRNA from 1 species